GACGAACGCUGGCGGCGUGCUUAACACAUGCAAGUCGAACGGAAAGGCCCUGCUUUUGUGGGGUUCUCGAGUGGCGAACGGGUGAGUAACACGUGAGUAACCUGCCCUUGACUUUGUGAUAACUUCAGGAAACUGGGGCUAAUACCGGAUAGGAGCUCCUGCUGCAUGGUGGUGGUUGGAAAGUUUCGGCGGUUGGGGAUGGACUCGCGGCUUAUCAGCUUGUUGGUGGGGUAGUGGCUUACCAAGGCUUUGACGGGUAGCCGGCCUGAGAGGGUGACCGGCCACCUUGGGACUGAGAUACGGCCCAGACUCCUACGGGAGGCAGAAGUGGGGAAUAUUGCACAAUGGGCGGAAGCCUGAUGCAGCAACGCCGCGUGCGGGAUGACGGCCUUCGGGUUGUAAACCGCUUUCGCCUGUGACGAAGCGUGAGUGACGGUAAUGGGUAAAGAAGCACCGGCUAACUACGUG
rnacentral:rRNA from 1 species